rnacentral:rRNA from 1 species
CCUACGGGAGGCAGCAGUGAGGAAUAUUGGUCAAUGGGCGAGAGCCUGAACCAGCCAAGUCGCGUGAGGGAGUACUGCCCUAUGGGUUGUAAACCUCUUUUGUCGGGGAGCAAAAGCCGGACGUGUCUGGCUGUGAGAGUACCCGAAGACGAAGCAUCGGCUAACUCCGUGCCAGCAGCCGCGGUAAUACGGGGGAUGCGAGCGUUAUACGGUGUUAUUGGGUUAAAGGGGUGCGCAGGGGGAUUUUUAGGUCAGGGGUCAAAUCGUGGGGCUCAACCCCGGCCCGCCGUUGAAACUGGCAGUCUCGAGUUGGAGAGAAGUAUGCGGAAUGCGCGGUGUAGCGGUGAAA